UACGUAGGGGGCUAGCGUUGUCCGGAAUCAUUGGGCGUAAAGCGCGUGUAGGCGGCCCGGUAAGUCCGCUGUGAAAGUCGGGGGGCUCAACCCUCGAAUGCCGGUGGAUACUGUCGGGCUAGAGUACGGAAGAGGCGAGUGGAAUUCCUGGUGUAGCGGUGAAAUGCGCAGAUAUCAGGAGGAACACCAAUUGCGAAGGCAGCUCGCUGGGACGUCACUGACGCUGAGACGCGAAAGCGUGGGGAGCAAACAGG
rnacentral:rRNA from 1 species